GCAUAUCAAUAAGCGGAGGAAAAGAAACCAACAGGGAUUGCCUCAGUAACGGCGAGUGAAGCGGCAACAGCUCAAAUUUGAAAUCUGGCCUCUUGGGGUCCGAGUUGUAAUUUGUAGAGGAUGUUUUGGGUACCGCCCCGGUCUAAAUUUCUUGGAACAGAAUGUCAAAGAGGGUGAGAAUCCCGUCUUGGACCGGCGGUAGGGCCUGUGUAAAACUCCUUCGACGAGUCGAGUUGUUUGGGAAUGCAGCUCAAAAUGGGUGGUAAAUUUCAUCUAAAGCUAAAUAUUGGCCAGAGACCGAUAGCGCACAAGUAGAGUGAUCGAAAGAUGAAAAGCACUUUGAAAAGAGAGUUAAACAGUAUGUGAAAUUGUUGAAAGGGAAGCGCUUGCAACCAGACUUGAGCGCGGCGGUUCCCCUGGCCUUUUGGCCAGGUUACUCCGUCGUGUCCAGGCCAACAUCGGUUUCGAGGGUCGGUUAAAGGCCCCGGGAAUGUAUCUACCCACGGGUAGACUUAUAGACCGGGGUGUCAUGCGACCUCUCGGGACCGAGGAACGCGCUUCGGGCUCGGAUGUUGGCGUAAUGGUUGUCAGCGACCCGUCUUGAAACACGGACC
rnacentral:rRNA from 1 species